GGCUUCGGCCAUGUAGAUAAGUGGCGCACGGGUGCGUAACACGUAAAUAACUUACCCUUCAGAGGGGGACAACCGGCCGAAAGGCUGGCUAAUUCCCCAUACGUUCUUAGAUUCGUAGAGGAUUUAAUAAGAAACCCUGCCUCUGACAUAAUCUUGCGCUGAAUGAAAGGUUUGCGGCCCAUCAGCUAUUUGGUAGGGUAAAUGCCUACCAAGGCAAAGACGGGUAUCUGGUCUGAUAGGACUAUCACCCACACUGGGGCUGAAACACGGCCCACACUCCUACGGGAGGCACCAUUGGGGAAUAUUGGACAAUGGGGGAAACCCUGAUCCAACAAUGCCGCGUGGAGGAAGAACGCUCUUGGGUUGUAAACUCCUGUCAUUGGGGAAAAAGUUUAGCGUAUGAAUAAUAUGUUGAAUAGAUGGUACCCAAAAAGGAAGCACCGGCUAACUCCGUGCCAGCAGCCGCGGUAAUACGGAGGGUGCAAGCGUUGUUCGGAAUUACUGGGCGUAAAGUGCGUCUAGGCGGACAAGCAAGUCACGUGUGAAAGACUUUUGGCUCAAUAAAGAAUUGCGCGUGAAACUGAUUGUCUUGAGUAAUGGAGAGGUGGGCGGAAUUCCUGGUGUAUCAGUGAAAUGCGUACAUAUCAGGAGGAACACCGGAGGCGAAAGCGGCUCACUGGCCAUUUACUGACGCUGAAGCGCGAGAGCGUGGGUACCAUACUAGAUUACAUACCCUGCGUAGUCCACGCCGUAGACGAUG
rnacentral:rRNA from 1 species